UAAUGAUAUAGAAUUUUUGAACGUAGACGACGACGAUGAAGAAGAUGAGGACAACAUGCAAUUUGCAGCAGAUCCUAGCUUUCUUGAAAACAGUGGAUGGUCUUCCCGGACCAGGGCUGUUGCCAGAUAUCUUCAAAAUCUCUUUGAUAGGGACUCGGUACACGGGAGAAAGGUCCUUCACAUGGAUAACUUACUCGUUAACAAAACUCGGAAGGAAG
rnacentral:misc_RNA from 1 species